UAUCUUAAAAAACAUGGCCGCCAUUGGCCAAACAACUUUAAGCACCUAUUUGACAAGGUUAAUGGAAGUCGAUCGGAACGAAACUCGGUGGGCAUGUUCGACUCAUUGCCCUAAAGGUCUGUAAGUAUUUUGAAAGAAAUUGCCCACAACAUUGUCACCUCCCACAUAACACAACAAAGCGAUUUGAUUACAGCGCCACCUAUUUUCCAAAAAUGAUAAUGCAUCAUUUUACUGGAGUUUUACUGGCUGUUUCAAUUACACUCUUCCAAUAAUUGCUUUUCUUACUCGUUGCAUUUGGUCUGAUGCUCCAUGCCAUGCUUAGCUCCUCGCUGUGGAACUUUUAUUAACGAUUUUCAGCCAUUUCAAUUACAAUCAUGCAAUUAUUAAUUUCAUUAUUCAUUGUUGCAUUUGGUCUGCUUAGCUCCUGAUGUUGCCGCUGGAAUGCUUGGCCCCGUGAUUGCUGCUUGCAGCUAUAUUUAGGGGCCAAGCACCGAAGGUGCGAAGGCACCUAUUGUGUUUGUUGGCGUUAUUAUUAUUCUUCUUCUUCCGCCGCAAGUCUAUGGCAGCCCAUAGAACCGAUUGCGGGAAAGUUGUAUAAUUUGGCACACUGAUAGAGGACAGUCCCAACAUUAACUAUAGCAAAUUUGAAGUCUCUAUCUCCUACUCUCUAGCGCCACCACUUGUCCAAACUUUCAAUGUUUGUAUGCUAAUAACUUUUGAACCGUAAGCCAGAAAAUGGAAAUUCUUUUUUCCUCUGAAUCCUUGGCUCAUGCCAAGUCGAAUGAACCCCAAAAUUCAAAAAUCGCAAGGUUUAGUUUUUUCGCUAUUUUCAAUUAUUCGAAAAACCUACUUUUUCGAACUCGUCCUAGACGGUUAGUCCGAUUGCCACGAAAAUUGGCUCAGAUCAUCUUCAGACCAUGCUGGCAAAAAGUUAUGGAAUUCAAGUUGAUUCGUCCAACUGUUGUCGAAUGACACGUAAACAAAUUUGACGAAAAGCACGCAAACAUGCACGUGAGGCUAUAUCCUGGCAACGGUUUGUCAUAUUGAGACCAAACUUGGCGUGUGUUAUAACAAGCAUGAACUGAGACUACCUGCAGUGUUUCGACACAGCGCCACCUAGUGGUCAGGAGAUAUGAAAAAUGCAUAUUUUGGCUUAUAACUACUGAAUGGUUUGGCCAAAAAUCACACAACUGGUCUCUUUAGAUUCAGUGAGUCAUGUCGAGUCAAAUGAUAUCCAAUUUUCCUGUGUCGGCCAUUUUAGGCGUCGGCCAUUUUGAAUUAUGAUUUAAAAUGCUGUAUUUUUUGAACGCAGCAUCGUAUCGUUUCGCAAAUAAUUACAAAAAUAUUCGGCUCCAUGCCCUGAAGGUACUCAAAAAGUUUGGUGGCAGUGCCACCUUGUGGCCAAUAGUUAUAAUGAAAUAUCACAUAAAUGCUAAUAACUUUUGAAUAAUUUAGACUAUUAAAAUUAAAAUGGUCUCGCUAUAUUCUGUGGGUCAUGCCGAGAGCAUUGAUACCAAUUAUGUGAAAAUUGGCCAUACUUCCUGUCCGCCAUUUUGCUUAAUGUUGAAAACCUACUUUUUCGAACUCCUCCUAGACCGUUAGUCCAAUUUUCACCAAAUUUGACGUGAAUCAUCUUCAGACCAUGCUGGCAAAAAGUUAUGGAUUUCGUGUCGAUAUACGAAACAGUUCUCAUUUAGCGCAUCAACGAAUUUGCUGGAAGGGUGCCAAAAUGCAUUUGAGGCUGUAUCUCUGCAACGCUUUGACAUAUUUGCACCAAAUUUUGUAUGUGUCAUCGCCACCUCACACUGACCAUGCCACAGAAAUUUGGUGACAGCGCCACCUAUUGGUCAAGAGUAAUAAACCAUUCAUUAACCAUGAAUAAUUACACUUGUAAAAAUGCUAAUAACUUUUUAUUGCAUUAGCCCAUUCAAAUGGAACUGGGCUCAAAAUAUUCCCUGGUUUAUGCCGAUAACAUAGAUACCAAAUAUACCAUAGUAAGCUGAACUUCCGGUCCGCCAUUUUGAUUUAUGUUGAAAACCUACUUUGUCGAACUCCUCAUCAACCGUAGGUCCGAUUUUCACCAAAUUCGAAUCAAAUGAUCUUCAGACUAUGCUGACUCAAAGUUAUGGCUUUUGAGUCGAUAGACAAAACCGUUUUCGCAUACCACAUCGACGAAUUUGAGGCACAAUGAGAAAAUGACACUUGAGGCUGUAUCCCUGGAAUGCUUUGGCAUAUUGACACCAAACUUUGUGUGUGUCAUUGAAAAGUCACACAGAGUACACCAAAUUGAUUUUAUAACAGUGCCACCUAUUGGUCAAGCUUGAUAAGCCAAGUAAUCAUGCUACUAGAGGUGGUAUUAUGAUUUUUUUUUGCCAUUUCAAUUACAAUAAUUCCAAAAUUGCUGUUAUUGCUCAUUAAUGAAUUUGGUGUGAUGCUUCAUGCGAUGCUUAGCUCCUACAUUUGCCGUUGGAGUGCUUGGCCCCGUAAUUGCUGCUUGCAGCUAUAUUUAUUAUUAGGGGCCAAGCACCGAAGGUGCGUAGGCACCUAUUGUAAUCGUUGGCGUUAUUAGGGGCCAAGCACCGAAGGUGCGUAGGCACCUAUUGUUUUCGUUGGCGUUAUUAGGGGCCAAGCACCGAAGGUGCGUAGGCACCUAUUGUUUUCGUUGGCG